CAAAAAAAUAGAAUCAUGGACUUGGAGGAAUUGCUGGUCCCUCUGUGUGGCCUGGUGAAAAGAACACAAGUGAGCACUGGCAGAGGACACACCUGUGUUUGAAGCCAGCCUCUGCUCCUUUCUAGCUCUGUGUCCUAAAACGAGUUACUUAACGUCUCUGAGCAUGUCCUACGUUAGUGAUAAAAUAUAUAAAUGUCCCUCUCUCAGGGUUGUUGUAAGGAGUAAAUAAAUUAAUGUACAUAAAAAGCACACAAAAGUAUCUGUUACACUGCAACUGCUCUAGAGGUGAUUGCCAUAAUGAAGAAGAAUAUUCGAAACUGGAGGUGAAUCUCAUGAUUCUGCACUUUUUAUCUGGAUGUUGCUGGCUUUUCACCAUGGCUUUUCUGACUUUGUUCCACAGUGUGUGUAAAGCACUUAAUCUGUUCCAAGUUCUUUGUAAGACUUUAGUCUGAGGACUGAAGCCCACAGCUCAUUGCCCUUUAAAGGAAGAGCUAUAAAUAGUACACUGGGUCAUUAAAAAGAGGAAGGAAUGCACCUGGACAGCCAAGUACAUGUAAAUUUGGCCAGAGGAGACUUCAGGGCCCAGAGCAUGCCCGUCAGCAAAGUCUCCCCUGGCUUCUGCAGAAGAACUCUGGUCAUCCAGGUGAGGGACCACAGGCCAGCCAGCUGUUCCUUCCAGACGUCUCCAGAAACCUCUAUGAGUCCCUUGGAAGGUAACAAACUCAGACCAAGGAUUUGGUCCUUGCUUGUUGGGUGGCCAGGAAAUAACAGCUUUGCACAGGCUGCUCAAGGUGAGGCUGCUUCUGAAGAAACCCAACAGUAGACUCUGGUGUGAAGAACAAAGACACACAGCUUGAGCCUGGGGAUGGACACCUCCCAGCAGCCCUGGCUGCCACUCACUGCUGUGCUGCAGCCUGAGAUGAGAAUACUGAUGUUCAGAGCAACCGACUGAACCCCUGGAAGUCACUCAUACUGAAAAUGGCAAAGCAGUAUCUGCCCCUGCUCUGUCCAAUGCUAACAGGACUGCUGAGGCCUCCCCUCCACCUCGCCUCAAGUUGACAUUGGGCCUGUGGAAAUAGACCUCUAAGCCAGCCUUUCUUGCUAGUUUGGUUUUAGCCUUUCUUGGACUCAGCUUUGCCAUCUGUGAAAUAUGUGAGUCAUCUAGAUAGUGUCUGAAACCUACCAGCUCCAAGUCUAUGGUCCACGGAUGGGCUGUGAGGACAAUCAAGACUGAGGCAGGUUUUCACUCAAGUCCUGGAAUAUCUGGUCAUCCUUCCAGGGUUCUUCAUGGCAGGGAAACAAAAUCAACAACUGAAGAACAUGAGGUUCAGGAGAUUUAAGUCUGAGUUCCAGUGUUGGCUUUGGGUGCCUCUAAUCAACCACAAAUCUAUCCCAAGCCCGAGGCAGGCUGGUCUUACUCAACAUUUAUGGGGUCUUGCAGGGCUUAUGAGUGAGCUCAUGUGGGUGAGCUGUGGGUACCACAGGACCAGCACAGAUUGCUCCAGCACAUUGUCCAGCCACGAGACAGAAUUUCCCUCUUACAGAUCCAUUGAAUAGCCCUGGCCUGUGGGUUUGCUGUAAAGAUGCAAAAGCCCUGAAGCAUUAUCUGCCAAACCUCAGCCCUGACCAUGGUUAGGCUGACAUCAGGGGAGGCAGCAGGAGAGGGAGAGAAAAGGGUAUCUCAUUGUGGAACUGGGGCAGUGGUGGGCAGGGGCUGAUGCAGGAGGGGUGCCAUGGCCCAACUGCUCUUCACCCACGGUCCUUACACAGACCUGAUCCUGCUAAUUCUGACUCAGCUUUCAGACUCAGCCUGCGGACACUCAAUUUUUAGUAAUAAGCAGUCUCCUCAUAAUUUACUAUAUAGCAAAAUAAAUUUUUA
rnacentral:lncRNA from 1 species